ACGGAGGAGGCAAGCGUUAUCCGGAAUUACUGGGCGUAAAGAGUUGCGUAGGUGGCAAAGUGUGUCAGUAGUGAAAGCAUGUGGCUCAACCAUAUAUACAUUACUGAAACUGCUUGGCUAGAGGACGAGAGAGGUACCUGGAAUUCCCAGUGUAGGAGUGAAAUCCGUAGAUAUUGGGAGGAACACCGAUGGCGUAGGCAGGGUACUGGCUCGUUCCUGACACUAAAGCACGAAAGCGUGGGUAGCAAACGGGA
rnacentral:rRNA from 1 species